AGCAGCCGCGGUAAUUCCAGCUCCAAUAGCGUAUAUUAAAGUUGUUGCAGUUAAAAAGCUCGUAGUUGAAUUUCGAGACCGGUCUACUGGUCGUGCUUUUGUACGUACUGGUAUAAUCGGUUUCUCUCUUCUGACGAACUAUAAUGCCAUUAAUUUGGUGUUUUAGGGAAUCAGGACUGUUACUUUGAAAAAAUUAGAGUGUUUAAAGCAGGCUCACGCUUGAAUACAUUAGCAUGGAAUAACGAAAUAGGACGUUUGAUUCUAUUUUGUUGGUUUCUAGGAUCGACGUAAUGAUUAAUAGGGAUAGUUGGGGGCAUUAGUAUUCAAUUGUCAGAGGUGAAAUUCUUGGAUUUAUUGAAGACUAACUACUGCGAAAGCAUUUGCCAAGGAUGUUUUCAUUAAUCAAGAACGAAAGUUAGGGGAUCGAAGACGAUCAGAUACCGUCGUAGUCUUAACCAUAAAUUAUGCCAACUAGGGAUCGGAUGAUGUUAAAUUAAUGACUCAUUCGGCACCUUACG
rnacentral:rRNA from 1 species